rnacentral:rRNA from 1 species
CGUGUAGGCGGCUUGUUAAGUCAGAUGUGAAACCGGGGGCUCAACCCGCGGCCUGCAUCUGAAACUGGCAGGCUUGAGUCUGGUAGAGGAAAGUGGAAUUCCUAGUGUAGCGGUGAAAUGCGCAGAUAUUAGGAGGAACACCAGUGGCGAAGGCGGCUUUCUGGGCCACGACUGACGCUGAGACGCGAAAGCUAGGGGAGCGAACA